GCGGAUUUAGCUCAGUUGGGAGAGCGCCAGACUGAAGUCAUUCUUCAGUCAGAGUAAUCUGGAGGUCCUGUGUUCGAUCCACAGAAUUCGCA
rfam:Yarrowia lipolytica CLIB122 chromosome E complete sequence